rnacentral:rRNA from 1 species
UACCAGCACCCCGAGUGGUCGGGACGUUUAUUGGGCGUAAAGAGCGUGUAGGCGGCCACACAGGUCAGCUGUGAAAACUCGAGGCUCAACCUCGAGACGUCGGUUGAAACCGUAUGGCUAGAGUCCGGAAGAGGAGAGUGGAAUUCCCGGUGUAGCGGUGAAAUGCGCAGAUAUCGGGAAGAACACCCGUGGCGAAGGCGGCUCUCUGGGACGGUACUGACGCUGAGACGCGAAAGCGUGGGGAGCGAACAGG